AGGGAAAGAAGGGGGCGGAGGUCCACAGAGGCAGUGGGCGGAGUGACCGCAGGCGGCCUGAGCUGGCGGAAACCCAACGCGAGCUGGCUCUUCUGGAGGUUGAGGCCAGCUGGACAUUCUCAGGAGCAUGUACCCUGAGCCACUCAGCGCUUUGCGUCGGAUGUAACUGCCCCUCUGGACUGCUAAACUAAGGAGUGCGGAGCCACUUGGACACGCGCGUUUUAGACUUUAGGGACCUCGGAGACCACUUGAGUCUGUCAGCCUCAGUCCUGUGGGACUCUGCAACCCUAUCGUGGACUGUAGCCAGCCAGGCUCCUCUGUCUAUGGAAUUUUUUAGGCAAGAAAACUGGAGCUGUUUGUCAUUUCCUACUUCAGAGAUCUUCCUUCCCAAACCAGGGCUGGAACCGGUGUCUCUUGCGUCUCUUGCAUUGGCAAGUGGAUUCUUUGCCACUGCGUCACCGUGGAAGCCCAGAGACCACUUUCCCAUCCCAAACCACCUCUGGUAUAUCGGAAGAGCUUUUAGCUGCCUGUACACAUGUUAUUCUUUCUUAUGUCAUCUGGCCAAAGGAAGCCUUGACUGUAAAGGAGAAUACCACUGUAUGGCGACCACUGAGAAAUGAGACAGGAAGCUCCACAAAUACUGGUUAGUUCCUUGAGGAAGGAGACUGCCAUGAAAUUGGACAAUCAUUGUGGAUUGCCUCUGGAUAUCUGCUCAAACACAUCCUCCAACACAUCCCCUAAGAGCUCUUGUUUGCUGGUCAGUUUCAGGCCACAGCAAUCAGAAAAGAAGAAAUAAAAGGAAGAGAAGAAAAUUGGAAGAGAAGAAAAACUCUAUUUACAUAUGACCUGAUAUUAUAGAUAGAAAACCCUGAAGUCUCUAUCAAAAAAGAGAAAUUAAGGAAAUGAUCCCGUUUACAAUCACAUCAAAAAGAAAGAAGUACCUAGGAAUAAACUUAACCAAGAAUGUGAAAGACCUAUACUCUGAAAGCUAUAAAUCAUUAAUGAAGGAAUUUGAAAAUGAUACAAAGAAAUGGGAAGAUAUCCAUAAGGGAUUAAUAUCCAACAUAUAUAAACAGCUCAUGUGCUGUGCUAUGCAGUGCUCAAUCGUUUAAGUCAUGUCCAUCUCUCUGCAGCCCCAUGGACCGUAGGCCACCAGACUCCUCUGUCCGUGGGAUUUUCCCUGCAAGAGUACUGGAGUGGGUUGCCAUGCCCUCCAGGGGUUCUGAGUGAUAGAAACUGAGUCUCCUAUGUCUCCUGUAUUGCAGGCAGAUUCUUUGUUACUGAGCCAUCAAGAAAGCCCAAACAGCUCAUAUAAUUAU